AUAGUUUUAUUAACGGUAAUAGAGUAGAAAAUACGGUUACCCUAGAUUGGAAUUUCUUUUAAAGAAUGUAGUGUAUUUGAUAUUUUUGAAAAAAGCUUUUAUUUAGAGAUCUUCUCGAAUAAGAGGAUGUGAUACUCCUAAAACCAAUGAGCAGGCGUUUAAUCACGUCACACAUCAGAAACUGUGAGAAUAAAACACCACGCCUGUCCUGCAUAACUGAGCACAGACUCUCUGGCCCACAGCAAACAUCUCUGGAAGAAGAAGAAGGCAUCAUCAUGAAUAAAAUACUCGCAUUGUGCCUUGGGUUACUGAUUAUAACCUUACCCUUUUCAUCUCAGGGAGAGACUAAACCUAACAACACUGAUGCUGGUACUCAAAAAGGGCCCAGUUCUGGAGGAUUGGGUCCGCUGCCCACCGCGCUGUGCCUGCUGAUCCCAGCAGUCACCCUGGGCUUCAUCCACAGUAGAUCCUAAACUGGCUGGAGAAUGUUUAGAUGACCAAGAGGAGCAAAGACACGAAGAGCAAACUUUUCCAAAAUUCUUGAAGAUAGAAGACACAGCAAGAACAACUCAACAAGGAGGUGCCACAACAACUCACAUUAGUUACAGAUUAACAGGCUAUUAUUUUUUUUUUAAAUAAUAAAAACUGGGAUUUUGAAGGAAUUGCCACUGUAUACUGUACCGAGGGUCCUCCAAACCCCAACAAAACCACACCAUGAGACUCUUUUUUGUUGUGUUUUAGUCUUGCUUUAAAUUGAACUUAGAAAUCAGUCGCAACAUCUUGUGAAAGACUGUAUGAAUCUGAUCAUUGUAAUCCAUGUCCUCCAAAAUAUUUUUGUACUAAUUGUGAUGAACUAUCAAUUGUAAUGAUUAAAAUGUGUCUAUAUGCAAAAUUAAAGUGGAUGAUUUGA